AGAGUUUGAUCAUGGCUCAGGACGAACGCUGGCGGCGUGCUUAACACAUGCAAGUCGAGCGGUAAGGCCCUUCGGGGUACACGAGCGGCGAACGGGUGAGUAACACGUGGGUGACCUGCCCCCUACUCUGGGAUAAGCCUGGGAAACUGGGUCUAAUACCGGAUAUGACUACAUGUCGCAUGGUGUGUGGUGGAAAGUUUUUCGGUGGGGGAUGGGCCCGCGGCCUAUCAGCUUGUUGGUGGGGUGAUGGCCUACCAAGGCGACGACGGGUAGCCGGCCUGAGAGGGCGACCGGCCACACUGGGACUGAGACACGGCCCAGACUCCUACGGGAGGCAGCAGUGGGGAAUAUUGCGCAAUGGGCGGAAGCCUGACGCAGCGACGCCGCGUGGGGGAUGACGGCCUUCGGGUUGUAAACCUCUUUCGGCCCCGACGAAGCGUGAGUGACGGUAGGGGUAGAAGAAGCACCGGCCAACUACGUGCCAGCAGCCGCGGUAAUACGUAGGGUGUGAGCGUUGUCCGGAAUUAUUGGGCGUAAAGAGCUCGUAGGCGGUCUGUCGCGUCGAUCGUGAAAACUUGGGGCUUAACCCUGAGCUUGCGGUCGAUACGGGCAUGACUGGAGUUCGGCAGGGGAGACUGGAAUUCCUGGUGUAGCGGUGAAAUGCGCAGAUAUCAGGAGGAACACCGGUGGCGAAGGCGGGUCUCUGGGCCGAUACUGACGCUGAGGAGCGAAAGCGUGGGGAGCGAACAGGAUUAGAUACCCUGGUAGUCCACGCCGUAAACGGUGGGCGCUAGGUGUGGGGGCCAUUCCACGGUCUCUGUGCCGUAGCUAACGCAUUAAGCGCCCCG
rnacentral:rRNA from 1 species